rnacentral:tRNA from 1 species
UCCGCGGUAGCUCAAUGGUAGAGCAACCGGCUGUUAACCGGUGGGUUCCCAGUUCGAGUCUGGGCCGCGGAG